UACGGGGGGGGCAAGCGUUGUUCGGAAUUACUGGGCGUAAAGGGCUCGUAGGCGGCCAACUAAGUCCGACGUGAAAUCCCAAGGCUUAACCUUGGAACUGCGUCGGAUACUGGAUGGCUUGAAUUCGGGAGAGGGAUGCAGAAUUCCAGGUGUAGCGGUGAAAUGCGUAGAUAUCAGGAGGAACGCCAAUGGCGAAGGCAGCUCGCUGGGACGUGACUGACGCUGAGACGCGAAAGCGUGGGGAGCAAACAGG
rnacentral:rRNA from 1 species